GUCUUCGUGGAUCAGCUGGUAGAUCACUUCUGACUUAGUACUUGGAUAGUAGCGCAAUAACAGAAGAGUCGUGGGUUCGAACCCCGCCGAAGACA